rnacentral:rRNA from 1 species
GAUGAACGCUGGCGGCGUGCUUAACACAUGCAAGUCGAACGGAAAGGCCCAAGCUUGCUUGGGUACUCGAGUGGCGAACGGGUGAGUAACACGUGGGUGAUCUGCCCUGCACUUCGGGAUAAGCCUGGGAAACUGGGUCUAAUACCGGAUAGGACGAUGGUUUGGAUGCCAUUGUGGAAAGUUUUUUCGGUGUGGGAUGAGCUCGCGGCCUAUCAGCUUGUUGGUGGGGUAAUGGCCUACCAAGGCGUCGACGGGUAGCCGGCCUGAGAGGGUGUACGGACACAUUGGGACUGAGAUACGGCCCAGACUCCUACGGGAGGCAGCAGUGGGGAAUAUUGCACAAUGGGCGCAAGCCUGAUGCAGCGACGCCGCGUGGGGGAUGACGGCCUUCGGGUUGUAAACUCCUGUCGCUAGGGACGAAGCGUUUUUGUGACGGUACCUGGAGAAGAAGCACCGGCUAACUACGUG